AGCGGCGGACGGGUGAGUAACGCGUGGGUAACCUGCCCUAUACACACGGAUAACAUACCGAAAGGUAUGCUAAUACGAGAUAAUAUAAGAGAUUCGCAUGGAUUUCUUAUCAAAGCUGAGGCGGUAUAGGAUGGACCCGCGCCUGAUUAGCUAGUUGGUAAGGUAACGGCUUACCAAGGCGACGAUCAGUAGCCGACCUGAGAGGGUGAUCGGCCACAUUGGAACUGAGACACGGUCCAAACUCCUACGGGAGGCAGCAGUGGGGAAUAUUGCACAAUGGGCGAAAGCCUGAUGCAGCAACGCCGCGUGAGUGAUGAAGGCCUUCGGGUCGUAAAACUCUGUCCUCAAGGAAGAUAAUGACGGUACUUGAGGAGGAAGCCCCGGCUAACUACGUACCAGCAGCCGCGGUAAUACGUAGGGGGCUAGCGUUAUCCGGAUUUACUGGGCGUAAAGGGUGCGUAGGUGGUCUCUUAAGUCAGGAGUGAAAGGCUACGGCUUAACCGUAGUAAGCUCUUGAAACUGGGAGACUUGAGUGCAGGAGAGGAAAGUGGAAUUCCUAGUGUAGCGGUGAAAUGCGUAGAUAUUAGGAGGAACACCAGUAGCGAAGGCGGCUUUCUGGACCGUAACUGACACUGAGGCACGAAAGCGUGGGGAGCAAACAGGAUUAGAUACCCUGGUAGUCCACGCCGUAAACGAUGAGUACUAGGUGU
rnacentral:rRNA from 1 species